rnacentral:rRNA from 1 species
GGAAUUAUUGGGCGUAAAGAGCUCGUAGGCGGUUUGUCGCGUCUGCUGUGAAAGCCCGGGGCUUAACCCCGGGUGUGCAGUGGGUACGGGCAGACUUGAGUGCAGUAGGGGAGACUGGAACUCCUGGUGUAGCGGUGAAAUGCGCAGAUAUCAGGAAGAACACCGAUGGCGAAGGCAGGUCUCUGGGCUGUUACUGACGCUGAGGAGCGAAAGCAUGGGGAGCGAACAGGAUUAGAUACCCUGGUAGUCCAUGCCGUAAACGUUGGGCACUAGGUGUGGGGGACAUUCCACGUUUUCCGCGCCGUAGCUAACGCAUUAAGUGCCCCGCCUGGGGAGUACGGCCGCAAGGCUAAAACUCAAAGGAAUUGACGGGGGCCCGCACAAGCGGCGGAGCAUGCGGAUUAAUUCGAUGCAACGCGAAGAACCUUACCAAGGCUUGACAUACACCGGAUCGGCUCAGAGAUGAGUUUUCCUCCUUGUGGGGCUGGUGUACAGGUGGUGCAUGGUUGUCGUCAGCUCGUGUCGUGAGAUGUUGGGUUAAGUCCCGCAACGAGCGCAACCCUCGUUCUAUGUUGCCAGCACGUGAUGGUGGGGACUCAUAGGAGACUGCCGGGGUCAACUCGGAGGAAGGUGGGGAUGACGUCAAAUCAUCAUGCCCCUUAUGUCUUGGGCUUCACGCAUGCUACAAUGGCCAGUACAAUGGGUUGCGAUACCGUGAGGUGGAGCUAAUCCCAAAAAGCUGGUCUCAGUUCGGAUCGUGGUCUGCAACUCGACCACGUGAAGUCGGAGUCGCUAGUAAUCGCAGAUCAGCAACGCUGCGGUGAAUACGUUCCCGGGCCUUGUACACACCGCCCGUCAAAUCACGAAAGUUGGUAACA